CCACGACGUCGCGCGCGGCCACCACUGGGCUCGUCGCCGAUCGCUAUAAAACGCGGCCGCUGCCUUGCCGCCUUUCUUCAAGCCGAGACCAAGAAAACACAAGUACAGACUACAGAGCCAUCUUUGAUCUUUCCAGUCCAAGAUGAGCGUGGAGAUCCUCGACGGGCGGACGGUGCAGAGCUUCGUGGAGGACGAGCGCGCGUUCAACUCGUCCGUGGACGCCCGCUUCGCGGCGCUGGACGUGGACCGCGACGGCCGCCUCUCGUACGCCGAGAUGGCCGGGGAGCUCAUGGCGCUGCGCGUGCGGGAGGCGCACUUCGGGGCCGACGCGCCGGCGCCCGCGGCCGAGCUCGCCGCGCUGUACGGGGCGCUCUUCGCGCGCUUCGACCGCGACGGGGACGGCGCCGUGGACCGCGACGAGUUCCGCGCCGGGAUGAGGGAGGUCAUGCUCGCCGUCGCCAGCGGCCUCGGCGUGCUCCCCGUGCAGAUGGUGGUCGAGGAAGGCAGCCUCCUCAAGUGGGCCGUCGACAGGGAGCUGGCCACUACCAUGCCAGCUUGACCAGCUCGGCUCCAUCAGCUAGCUGCCUGACAGUGUGCACUAGCGCUAGUGUACUCACCGCUAGCUGAAUGAGAGCUUUAUCACCUAUGUAUGUAUGUAACCGUACGCCGAGGGUGUCGGUCUAAUUUGGGCUCGUUUAACGUUUUCGUGUUUGUAGACCUGACAUGAGUAUGUAACGUACGCACUGAACCUUUUUUAUCAGUCCGAAAACUAGCGUUU
rnacentral:misc_RNA from 1 species